UUGAGAGUCUGGUAUAAGAGUUUUUGAAAAAAUGAUAAUAAGUUUUGAAAACAACAAAACGAUGUUAUUUAUGAUUUAUUCCAGACAUUAUCCUGUAUUUUGAUCUGAUAUGCUCUGACCCCACUCUGGGGUAUUUUGUUGCUUACUGGGCUAGUGUAGCUCAUUAUUCUGUUUUCUCCAUUUUUCAGAUCCAGAGGCUUGAUCGCACGG
rnacentral:lncRNA from 1 species